GGGACACGUGGUAUCCUGUCUGAAUAUGGGGGGACCAUCCUCCAAGGCUAAAUACUCCUGACUGACCGAUAGUGAACCAGUACCGUGAGGGAAAGGCGAAAAGAACCCCGGCGAGGGGAGUGAAAAAGAACCUGAAACCGUGUACGUACAAGCAGUGGGAGCACGCUUAGGCGUGUGACUGCGUACCUUUUGUAUAAUGGGUCAGCGACUUAUAUUCUGUAGCAAGGUUAACCGAAUAGGGGAGCCGAAGGGAAACCGAGUCUUAACUGGGCGUUAAGUUGCAGGGUAUAGACCCGAAACCCGGUGAUCUAGCCAUGGGCAGGUUGAAGGUUGGGUAACACUAACUGGAGGACCGAACCGACUAAUGUUGAAAAAUUAGCGGAUGACUUGUGGCUGGGGGUGAAAGGCCAAUCAAACCGGGAGAUAGCUGGUUCUCCCCGAAAGCUAUUUAGGUAGCGCCUCGUGAAUUCAUCUCCGGGGGUAGAGCACUGUUUCGGCAAGGGGGUCAUCCCGACUUACCAACCCGAUGCAAACUGCGAAUACCGGAGAAUGUUAUCACGGGAGACACACGGCGGGUGCUAACGUCCGUCGUGAAGAGGGAAACAACCCAGACCGCCAGCUAAGGUCCCAAAGUCAUGGUUAAGUGGGAAACGAUGUGGGAAGGCCCAGACAGCCAGGAUGUUGGCUUAGAAGCAGCCAUCAUUUAAAGAAAGCGUAAUAGCUCACUGGUCGAGUCGGCCUGCGCGGAAGAUGUAACGGGGCUAAACCAUGCACCGAAGCUGCGGCAGCGACACUAUGUGUUGUUGGGUAGGGGAGCGUUCUGUAAGCCUGUGAAGGUGUGCUGUGAGGCAUGCUGGAGGUAUCAGAAGUGCGAAUGCUGACAUAAGUAACGAUAAAGCGGGUGAAAAGCCCGCUCGCCGGAAGACCAAGGGUUCCUGUCCAACGUUAAUCGGGGCAGGGUGAGUCGACCCCUAAGGCGAGGCCGAAAGGCGUAGUCGAUGGGAAACAGGUUAAUAUU
rnacentral:rRNA from 1 species